GACGAACGCUGGCGGCGUGCUUAACACAUGCAAGUCGAACGGUGACGAGGAGCUUGCUCCUCCGAUCAGUGGCGAACGGGUGAGUAACACGUGAGCAACCUGCCCCAGACUCUGGGAUAACAGUUGGAAACAGCUGCUAAUACCGGAUACGAGACGGAGAGGCAUCUCUACCGUCUGGAAAGUUUUUCGGUCUGGGAUGGACUCGCGGCCUAUCAGCUAGUUGGUGGGGUAAUGGCUCACCAAGGCGACGACGGGUAGCCGGCCUGAGAGGGCGACCGGCCACACUGGGACUGAGACACGGCCCAGACUCCUACGGGAGGCAGCAGUGGGGAAUAUUGCACAAUGGGCGAAAGCCUGAUGCAGCGACGCCGCGUGAGGGAUGACGGCCUUCGGGUUGUAAACCUCUUUCAGCAGGGAAGAAGCGCAAGUGACGGUACCUGCAGAAGAAGCACCGGCUAACUACGUG
rnacentral:rRNA from 1 species